rnacentral:SRP_RNA from 1 species
CGAGGGAGGCUAUCCUGAGGGCGCGGCGACGCCGGCUUGGGCGUGGCGGUGGGAUGGCAACGCUCAGGCCGGGUU